ACACUGUACGAGUUUGAUCAUGGCUCAGAUUGAACGCUGGCGGAAUGCUUUACACAUGCAAGUCGAGCGGCAGCGCGGGGGGCAACCCUGGCGGCGAGCGGCGAACGGGUGAGUAACAUAUCGGAACGUACCCAGUCGUGGGGGAUAACUAUCCGAAAGGAUAGCUAAUACCGCAUACGUCCUGAGGGAGAAAGCGGGGGAUCGCAAGACCUCGCGCGAUUGGAGCGGCCGAUAUCGGAUUAGCUAGUUGGUGGGGUAAAGGCUCACCAAGGCGACGAUCCGUAGCGGGUCUGAGAGGACGACCCGCCACACUGGAACUGAGACACGGUCCAGACUCCUACGGGAGGCAGCAGUGGGGAAUUUUGGACAAUGGGGGCAACCCUGAUCCAGCCAUUCCGCGUGAGUGAAGAAGGCCUUCGGGUUGUAAAGCUCUUUCAGCAGGAACGAAACGGUGGUCCCUAAUACGGACUACUAAUGACGGUACCUGAAGAAGAAGCACCGGCUAACUACGUG
rnacentral:rRNA from 1 species